UACGGAGGGUGCAAGCGUUGUCCGGAAUCACUGGGCGUAAAGGGCGCGUAGGCGGCUCGGUAAGUAGGGGGUGAAAUCCUGCGGCUUAACCGCAGGGCUGCCUUCUAAACUGUCGAGCUCGAGCACGGUAGAGGCAGAUGGAAUUCCCGGUGUAGCGGUGGAAUGCGUAGAGAUGUGGAGGAACACCAGUGGCGAAGGCGACUCUUUGGCCUGUAACUGACACUGAGGCGCGAAAGCGUGGGGAGCAAACAGG
rnacentral:rRNA from 1 species